UACGUAGGGGGCAAGCGUUGUCCGGAAUCAUUGGGCGUAAAGCGCGUGUAGGCGGCCAGAAAAGUCCGCUGUGAAAACUCGAGGCUCAACUUCGAGCUGUCGGUGGAAACUUUCUGGCUAGAGUCCGGAAGAGGAGAAUGGAAUUCCUGGUGUAGCGGUGAAAUGCGCAGAUAUCAGGAGGAACACCGAUGGCGAAGGCAGGUCUCUGGGCCGAUACUGACGCUGAGGAGCGAAAGCGUGGGGAGCGAACAGG
rnacentral:rRNA from 1 species